rnacentral:rRNA from 1 species
CCUACGGGAGGCUGCAGUGGGGAAUAUUGGACAAUGGGCGAAAGCCUGAUCCAGCCAUGCCGCGUGUGUGAAGAAGGCCUUCGGGUUGUAAAGCACUUUCAGUGGGGAAGAAAGCCUUGGGGCUAAUACCCUCGAGGAAGGACAUCACCCACAGAAGAAGCACCGGCUAACUCCGUGCCAGCAGCCGCGGUAAUACGAGGGUGCGAGCGUUAAUCGGAAUUACUGGGCGUAAAGCGCGCGUAGGCGGUCUGAUAAGCCGGUUGUGAAAGCCCCGGGCUCAACCUGGGAACGGCAUCCGGAACUGUCAGGCUAGAGUGCAGGAGAGGAAGGUAGAAUUCCCGGUGUAGCGGUGAAAUGCGUAGAGAUCGGGAGGAAUACCAGUGGCGAAGGCGGCCUUCUGGACUGACACUGACGCUGAGGUGCGAAAGCGUGGGUAGCAAACAGGAUUAGAUACCCCGGUAGUC